CGGACGUAGGUAACCUGCCUGGUAGCGGGGGAUAACUAUUGGAAACGAUAGCUAAUACCGCAUAAGAGUAGAUGUUGCAUGACAUUUGCUUAAAAGGUGCAAUUGCACCACUACCAGAUGGACCUGCGUUGUAUUAGCUAGUUGGUGGGGUAACGGCUCACCAAGGCGACGAUACAUAGCCGACCUGAGAGGGUGAUCGGCCACACUGGGACUGAGACACGGCCCAG
rnacentral:rRNA from 1 species